GCCCGGUGGCCGCGGGGAGUGGGGGCGGGGGAGGUUGGCACCCACCCUCGGCGCGGGAUGGUUCCAGGCGGUGGAAAAGCGCUGCGGCCACCUCGAACGGGGCUCCUCCUGGCGCCGCGCCUGCCCCGGGAAGGUAUGAAGAUUGAAUUAGCGCUUGAUGUUUGGAAGGUGCUCUCACUGUUUCAUUAGGAAAGAAAGAAAGAAAAGAAAGAAAGAAAGAAAGAAAGAAAGAAAGAAAGAAAGAAAGAAAGAAAGAAAGAAAGAAAGAAAGAAGACGACUGAUGUAAAAACUAUAAAAAAGAUUUUGAGACUAGAAAAAGUGCAGAGAAGAGCAGUGAAGAUGACUGGAGGCUAAAACAUCUGAAGAAUGGUUGCUGGAAUUGGAUAUGUCUAGUUAAUUUUUAUUUUAUUUUAAUUUUUAUUUAUAACACAACACAAUAUAACAAACACAAAACACAAAACACAUAAUAUAAGUUCCCUUUUUACAACUGUUUUGUAAUGGUCAUCUUCUAAUAUUUACAUCUUUCCCCCAUUUCCUGUUAUACUGUUCUUUUCCUUCUUGUUCCUUUUUCUCUUAUUUACAUUAUAAUUCCUAACAAUCAUGAUAUUAAUUUUGUACAUUUUAUACCUUGUCCUAUCAACAUUUUACAUUUAUAACUUCUCUCCUGUUCUUAUUGUUCACUACUUCUAAUCUUCAACCAGUCGUACCAUUUAUUCCAUACUACAUAGUAUUCCGUAUCUUCCUUUUCUUUAAGGAAGAAUAAUCAAAUAAACUAAACUAAACAAGUUCUUUUGUUAGUUUGUCCAUCUCGGCACAUUCUAAGAUUUUUUUUUUUUAUCAAUUCUUCCUCUGUUGGUGUAUUUUUAUUUUUUCCAAUUUUGUGCAUAUGAUAUUCGAUAUAAUAUGUAAAAUCAAGUAUUUUAUUUCUUUAGUAUAUUUUCUAGUGAAUAUUCCUAAUAAAAACGUCUCUGGUUUCCUA